GGGGAAGACGACGCUGGCCAUGCGGCUGGUGGAAACCCUCAGAGCAUCCCACCCGCACCUCACUGUUCGCGGAUUCUACACCCGGGAGGUGAGGGAGAACGGGGAGAGGGUCGGGUUCGAGGUUGUAACGCUCGAUGGGCGAACCGGGUGGCUCGCCUCCUCCAAGAUUUGCAGCCCUGAAUCUCUUAGAUGGCCUACUGUUGGGAAGUACAAAGUAGAUGUAGCAUCUUUGGAAUUGCUGGCAUUGCCUGAGCUGCAGGUCAAACAAGACACAGAUCUCUUCAUCAUUGAUGAAGUGGGUAAAAUGGAGUUGUUCAGUCCAGAAUUUUUCCCCGCUGUGAUGAGAGUUAUGGAGUCCAACAUCCCUGUGCUAGCCACCAUACCAAUACCAAGAUAUGGCCGAGACAUUCCUGGAGUCGCAAGGUUGAGGAAUCAUCCUGGAGCAGAUGUUUUCACCAUAAAUACUGCUAAUAGGGAUACCAUGAGGGAGAGUGUCUACAAUCAGUUGAGCAGAUUGAUGCAGAAGAGAUUGGAGCAGCUGUUCUCACCUUAAAUACUGGUAAAAGGGAUAACAGAGGGUAUGUACUGAUGUACAAUCCUUUCAGCAGAUUGUGUGAUCUUGUUAGUCUUGCAUAAUGCAGAAAACUACAUCUUUCUUUAAGCAAUAAAUGUAGUAAAGUAGAGAUUUUACUUCAGUAAUUGCCCACCAUUUGCUUGUCACACAGUCUGGUUGUGUCUUGUGUACCUGAAUGGCUGGGUCAUCUUUUAUACACCGACUAUGGAUAGACAGAGGUUAAGUUAUUUUCAUAUAUGUUGCUGGUUAAUCUGAAUAUAUAAGAAGCACAUUCUUCAUCCUCGUUAUUUUCCUAUGGUUUGUCAAUCAUGGAUACAGAUUCGACCACAACAGCUAUACCUUGUACUGAAGCAUUUACUGACCUCUACAAAUGUCACAUGAUAUGCAAUUUUUUUUGCUAAUAGGCCAUCAUUGCUUUGCAUAUAGUGGGCGCAUGAAUGAUAACUCCAGCUUGGGUUUUCCAUCCCCAGUGUACAUUUCACAUCAUUUGAGGAAUUUCUUGUUAUUGUUUAGUCCUUUUUGUUUUUACACUUGCACUGUUGUAAAAGAUUGCCAAAUAGCUGAGAUGACUAUCUAAAUGAAGAGUACAAAUGCAUAUGGCAUAACUUGAUAGACACUUCAAAGCAUAUCCCUGCCAAAAGAACUUGUGGCUUCUCCAUGUGAAUGUUUACAAACACCAAUGACCAAUUGAGUUGCAAAUAUUUUGAGAUGAUUGAAUUCUGGUCCUGCGAGUGGUGACACGUUCUAUUCCUUCCAGAUGUUUGUUUGAUGAAAGACUGGCCAAUUACUAUAACAGUCUUUCUCAUUCUUAGUUACCUGAAUUUUAUUUAAAUCUCAGUUGCCUAAAGUUGCACGCCAUCUAGCCUAAAAUUACAGUAAUAACUGGAAUAUUUAUAAGCAAUAAAUCUCAUUCUUAGUGAGGAUGGUGGUUUAGAAAUGUGACUGCCCAGGCAACUAUUAAUAGAUAAUCCCUUCGUACAUCGUUGAUCAAAAUAAAUCUUAUUUGAGAUAUGUUUUCUGAUUGUUAAGUGCAGUGCAUGCAGAUCCCAGUCCAUUCAUUAAAAAAGAGCAGACUGGUUUUAUAUAUCAAAAUGAUGCAGCAGCAGUCAUGCACAAUGAUCACACCUAUAAAGAAACGAGAGUAUUUGAUAAGAUGCAUGUAUAAGUUACCGCCUGGCAUGACAAAGAUGAUAGAUGGGUUCUUGCUCCUACAUUUGCUAUUCUUCUGGUGUUCUGUACCACUACUGCUUAGACACCAUGUAAUGCAGUAGGCCUUGCCCCAGAAGCAGGCAGCAACUUCACGUGCCACACAUGUUUCUGUGGGCUCUUGAUCUGGAUGAUCAGCAGGAAUUUUCACCCGAAGAUGCACAAGCUUUCCAUUGAGGAAGCAGCAAGUGAUUCGAGGACCAUCUGGGCAGAUCUUUCCAGUUUUAACUAUUGGGAGCUCCUUUACACUUGUUGGCAAUGCUUUCGAAGGCAGAAAGCUUUGAAGCAAAUCUCCCAAGAGAUUUGGCGGUCUCUUUA